rnacentral:siRNA from 1 species
GAAGUAUGUGUCAACAUGGUU